UAUCAUAACCCCAAGGACAGGCCAGUACAGAUGCCUGAAUACUAACAGGUGUCGCACAUAAAUCAACAGCUCUUCCCAUUGAGGUGCUCACUAAGCAGAUGGCUCCUCCCAGCUGUGGGCCUGUUUUUCUGGGAAGAGGCCCAGCCCACUCCAGAAGCUUUGUAAGCUGGCCCUGAUUUGAACUUCCUCCAUUGCUCUUGUUUGUACUUAUCUCUCUGAUUCCCUCCUCCUUCUGGGUGGAGUCUGGAUCGGCUGAACAUGUUUUGAACUCAUGGAGUUGGUUGCUUUAAAAACAGAAGGUAUCAGUAUCUUUAUUUUAGUUACAAAGAAGCCAUGGAAUGUUCUCUUCAGAGCCUAAGAUACAAUCCCUUAGGCAUAUGAGGAUGGAAGUCUGAGGACCAUUUAGCAACGGCCCAUCGGCCCAUCGUUUCUGUUACAAAUGUCACAAAGUUGCUGACUUCCACAAGCAAAAUCGUACACCAUACAUUUAAUUAAUGCAAAUGAAGUUUAUUUAUGCAAAUUAAAUUCCCCCUCUAUGUGCACCUGUAUGUAGGUAUAUGGAAUGUCGGUGUGUUUUCCAGAGUUCAUGUAUUAGAGUCUUGGUCUGUAUUGUGGACUGAUGGCCUGUUAGGAUUUUAAAAGGUGUCCUCAUGGAAGGCAGUUGGAUCACAGGGGACUGUUUUGUAAGGACUAUGACUUCUCAUUUUCACGAGGAGUCCUAAGUGACCAGGUUGUUGUAAGUUAGCCUGGCAUCUCCUACUUCUUGGCUCAUGCAUGCAUGCCCCACCUAUGUAUUCUUGGUUUCCUUACCAUGUCUUUGCCAUGUUGUGAUAUAACCUCGUGGCACUUACCAGAUUCCAACAGAGUACUGCCUGGUCAUAGCAUUGAGAUUUCUAGAUUGUAAAUUAAGUAAAAAGAAAUCUGGCCAGGUGGGAUGGAAAGACAGUCAGUGGCAACUGCUGGACACUCAUUUUUCUUGAUUCUUAUGACUUAUUCUAGAAAUUUCCCUCCUACUGUCUCACCUUUGUCUUAUUUUCCAGCUGUCAACGUUUGCCCCCUAGCAAGAACCAUGUGGUACUGAUGAUGGCCGAAGACAUCCUAUGAACUCAUUUAGUAGGAACGCAAAUGGGCUUUGAUCUGUUUAUGCCGACAUAUAUAUCGUGUAUUUGCAGAUGUAGAGUUGACCAUCAUUGCUUGAAAUGUGUGGGGCUACGGGGUUGUAAGACCGUAAGACUGGAUCGGCGGCUUCUACCAGUUCCCACAUUGUAAAUGUCACGCCUGUUUCAAGAUGCCGAUGUGAUGUCAUGGAAUGUCAUCUCCUAUGACUGGCAGUGUCCAAAAGAUAAAAGUCUUACCUUGGGAGGACAUCCAUUGUUCCUUCUUCUCAUAUCCAUGUACCAAAAGACAUCUGUCCACUAAAGCUUCUUGGUCUCUCAACCUGCUAGGGGCCACACCCAUGAAGAAUCUGUCAGUAGUUCUUCAGCCAGGAUGGGGCUCAUAUCCUGCCCCGCCCCCAUCUGUGCUGGAAUGCUGCCUGCCUUGAUCGUGGGCAGACCUUAGGCAGGCCGCCACAGCCGCUCUGAGUCCACAAGUGUGAUCCUAGGUCACGUUCAGAAGACACAGAGGCUCCGGCCAUCUUUCCAUCUCCUUGUCUGGGAUGUCCCCUGAGCCUUGACAGGAGGGUGUGUGAUACAGAUACCCCGCUUAUGUCUGAGCACUGCAUAGACAUUUAUUCUCUGCAUUUGACCUGUCUGCUUUCCUUGGUGUGCUUACAAUGGUCUGUGCUCUAAUGGAGGCAUCUGUUUUCAAUACCGGCUUGGAAAUAAUACUACAUAGGAAACAGCCCGAAUCUUCUUACCUUGGUGUUAGCGGCGCCCACCACAGUGGCUGGAAGCUGGAAGACUACCGACUCAUUCACCACAUCCCUCAGCUUCCUUUUCUGAGAAACAUGGUCUGUGGCAUGAUCUCUGCAGCCAUCCAGUUUGGGAUAUGAAUCCUAGUUGUGUUGCUUACAAAUGGGUUUUAGCUGGGUCACUUAAUGUCUUAGUUUCUUAAUGGAGGUCAGACCAACCCCACAGUGUUAUGGAUUAAGUGUGAAAUUGUGGUACUUAGCAGGGCCAGGCACAGAGCUCAUCCAGUACAGGGUAGCUGUGAUGGCUUGCCCACGGUGUCCAAGUUAUCUUGACAGUCUAUGCUUGGCUCCAUGAGGCUGUAAGACCAGCAUCUUGGAACAGAGAGUCUAGUAUUGCAGAAUAAAUCCACCUGAGAAGCAGGGCACUGACUGCGACCCUGUUGGCACUUUGCUUAGUCUAACUGCAUUUGAAGAUGGAGAGGAUACCUCGAGUGUGUGCUGUCUAGAGAAGCAAGAAAAGUCAACUGGACCAGGAACAGUUAGUGAGUCACUUCUAGUUGCAUUUCACACAGGCAGGUCUUCCCUUUCCUCGGCGAUGGCCUUGACUGCCAUCCCUGGCGACUGUUAAUAAAUGUCACCAUUUGCACUCCCCCAGUGCAUUUAAGUUUCACUAGUUCCGUAUUUCCCGGCCAAGGACCCAAGUUCAUCAAGCCAGUUUGGAAAAGCAGCGAUGGAGGCACAAACCAUAACUGUCAUUAACAGAAAGGCUUUGAAACUGAAGACACAGAAGGCAAAUGAACAGACCAUUUAAUCUUGUCUCUACUCUACUUUAGCCAUUUAAUCUCUGCUUUGGCUCUAUACAUCUGGGAAGUAUAUCAUUUUCUAAACAUUUUAUCAUAAAUGUUCAGCUUUUCUCACCAACGGCUGAUCUCAUAUGUGCUUAGCAAGUAUUCGCUCAUAAUGCUAAAGGAAGACUGAGAGACGGUUUUGGUUUUGGCUAAGCCAGCAUUCAAGAUGAAAUGCUGGAGGGUUCUGCAAUUGAUUUCAACAGUUUAACUUUACACUACUAAGGAAACAGUCCUGGAGGUGAAAGGGUUUCAGGUAAGAAGCCCCACUUGCAGGUUUGAUUUGUUUUGUUGAGGAACCCUGAUAAGGUGGCCUCUGCACGCAUUCCUAUUGCUCUGGUUUGACUCAGUGCAGAAGAGCCACCAGCAGUUUCUGGAAGUCCCCAGAGGUGUCUGAGCGAACCAUGUCAGAGAGAGACUUCUGAUACUUCUCCUGGAACUUGGCUUUUAUCCCCUGAAGGUCUACCUGUAGGGAUAAUGGCAACAGCAUGAGUGUCAACACUCAGAGUGUGUUUGUUAGGAAGGGCAGACACUGUCAUCCGCCAUCAUACUCAUUUGUUAUAUCAUUAAACGGCCCUGAGGGCUCAGCUGGCAUUAUUUCAGCCUGGGGGUAAGGAAAGGGAAGCCUACUUUAGCUUCCUAAAAGUAGAAGUGUCACACAUAUAUUAAAUUGGGAUUUUAUGUCUGGAAGUAAAAUUUAAAUUGCAUAUGUU